UGCCCAGGCGCGAAAACUUUGCAAUGCGGGAAACCGUGACAAGGGAACUCUGAGUGCCCGUUAAAUCGGGCUGUCCAUCGGUUUAAAUAACCGGUGAAGAAAGGGCCGGGCAAGACCGGUGCCAGCCGCCGCGGUAAUACCGGCGGCUCGAGUGGUGGCCACUAUUACUGGGCUUAAAGCGUUCGUAGCUGGUUUGUUAAGUCUCUGGGGAAAUCUUCCGGCUUAACCGGAAGGCGUCUCAGGGAUACUGGCAGACUAGGGACCGGGAGAGGUGAGAGGUACUCCAGGGGUAGGAGUGAAAUCCUGUAAUCCUUGGGGGACCACCUGUGGCGAAGGCGUCUCACCAGAACGGCUCCGACAGUGAGGGACGAAAGCUGGGGGAGCAAACCGGAUUAGAUACCCGGGUAGUCCCAGCUGUAAACGAUGCGCGUUAGGUGUAUCGGUGACCACGAGUCACCGAGGUGCCGAAGAGAAAUCGUGAAACGUGCCGCCUGGGAAGUACGGUCGCAAGGCUGAAACUUAAAGGAAUUGGCGGGGGAGCAC
rnacentral:rRNA from 1 species